rnacentral:rRNA from 1 species
GAUGAACGCUGGCGGCGUGCCUAAUACAUGCAAGUCGAGCGAACGGACGAGAAGCUUUCUUCUCUGCUGUUAGCGGCGGACGGGUGAGUAACACGUGGAUAACCUACCUAUAAGACUGGGAUAACUUCGGGAAACCGGAGCUAAAAUCGGAUGUAAUUUUGAACCGCAUGGUUCAAAAGUGAGAGACGGUCUUGUUGUCACUUAUAGAUGGAUCCGCGUUGUAUUAGCUAGUUGGUAAGGUAAGGGCUUACCAAGGCAACGACGGAUAGCCGACAUGAUAGAGGGAUCGGCCACACUGGAAUUAAGACAGGGUCCAGCCUCCUAAGGGAGGCAAAAGUAGGGAUCUCCCCGAACUGAGCGAACGCCUGACGGACCAACGCCCCGUGAGUGAUGAAGGUCUUCGGUUCGUAAAACUAUGUUAUUAGGGAAGAACAUAUGUGUGAGUAAAGGUACACAUCUUGACGGUACCUAAUCAGAAAGCCACGGCUAACUACGUG